rnacentral:rRNA from 1 species
CCUACGGGGGGCAGCAGUGGGGAAUAUUGCACAAUGGGCGCAAGCCUGAUGCAGCCAUGCCGCGUGUGUGAAGAAGGCCUUCGGGUUGUAAAGCACUUUCAGCGGGGAGGAAGGCGUUAAGGUUAAUAACCUUGUCGAUUGACGUUACCCGCAGAAGAAGCACCGGCUAACUCCGUGCCAGCAGCCGCGGUAAUACGGAGGGUGCAAGCGUUAAUCGGAAUUACUGGGCGUAAAGCGCACGCAGGCGGUCUGUCAAGUCGGAUGUGAAAUCCCCGGGCUCAACCUGGGAACUGCAUUCGAAACUGGCAGGCUAGAGUCUUGUAGAGGGGGGUAGAAUUCCAGGUGUAGCGGUGAAAUGCGUAGAGAUCUGGAGGAAUACCGGUGGCGAAAGCGGCCCCCUGGACAAAGACUGACGCUCAGGUGCGAAAGCGUGGGGAGCAAACAGGAUUAGAUACCCCAGUAGUC